UUAAGCAAGUACUACUUGAUAAAUCCAAAUAUUCUGAAGGCAUUUACAAAAUACUCUUGGUUUUGUAUUCUAAUGAGUAAUAUAAUUUCUUUGUUCUCAUAUGUUAUUAGAGAAUGUUGAUACAUCAAUUUAGAUUUCGAGCACCAAUUUCGUUACUUAUAUAAGCCAUCUCUUCUUAUAUUUGAUUUGCUGAUAUUGUAGAUAUAUAGAUGAAAGAACACACACAUCUAGGUGUUGUAAGCUGGAGUUUUGUUGAUUUGAUCUAACUAACAGAAAAAAGGGGAUCCUAUCGGAGCAGCCAUGGUACUGCAAAAUUGUAUCAUCAUUCAUGUAAAUGCUUUGUACUUCUUGCUUUGGUGAUUCCUCCCUGUUCCUUCAAAAAGAGAACAAAAAGCGGAAUGACAUGAGAGAUUUUGAAAGUCUCUUUAUAUGGCAAAAUUCUAAGCUCUACUACAGCUUGGAUGGAUACCUCCAUUCGAGAAUAGAUCAUAGUGUAAGUAUGUUACUUUCAAGUCCAUUUUUUACCGUUAAUACAAAAUUUCUUGCCUGCAAUAGAAACCACUGUGAGGAUAUCUAUACGUAGUUUCAAAUCCGUGUCACAGAUAAAUUUAACAUUGCUUGUAAUUCGAUCCGUGAGAUAUUGGGUUGUUGCUAACCUACCCAAAUCCAAGUUAUUGUGUACAUUAUAGACAAAUAAAAGGUAACUGAUUAUUCCACUAUUCAAUAAUCUAUAUCCAAGUUAUUAGGAUUUGUUGCUAACCUACCCAAAUCCUAAUAAUCUAUAUCCUCCUGAAAGAAAAGAGUAAGAAAUAAAGACACAAGAAAAUGCAUAUAGCUAAAUUCUUUAUAUCUUGCCAAGAUAUUAGUUUAUGGUGUCUUAAAACUCAGUAUCUAAACAAUAUCAUACAAAGCAAAAUACAAAUAAAUAGGUACAAAUGCACAUACACAGUAAACAACAGAACAUCAACAAAGAGUAGAAAAUUAAUCUCAUAAACUGGAAAUGAAAGACAAAAGACAAUACCAUGUUAUUGACCUAAAAAGUAUUACUUGUAAUUGGCUUAGAGCUUUUAGGCAAUGUUGCUUCAAUACUUGACAUGCAUAUCAAAUGAUCUUUGAAAUUAUGCAACAUAUCUCCAUUUGGUGGACAUCCAAGUUGACAAAGUGAAUAUGAAUCUACACUUCAAAAAGUUAUUUCUCACUCUUUGAUGAACAUAGGAAAAUUAGUACACCACAAAAUGCCAUAAAUUCAUAAAUCUGUGUCAAAUUGCAAUAGAAAAAGCAACCUAAUAGAUGAUUACAACAACCUGAGAUAUUGUUAAACUCAAAUAUCUUCCAAAAUGUACUAGACUAUACUAGAGCUUCUGGAAUAUGCUUCUUUUAAGUUUUUUCCUUAACAUGUAAGAUACUUCAUUUGCAAUCUAAACAUUAGUAGAACAUGUUAACCAAAUAGAGAAUCCUCACAGUCAUAGGUCUCCUUAGCAAAUAAUCCUAAUGUCUCAUUUUGGCCUUUAGUUUUGUUAUACCUGAUGAAAUAUUUACUGAAAUAUACAGGUCGGGUUCUUUGUUCUCUCUUAUUUAUGAUUGUCGAGUCAUCAUUAUGCAUUGUUUUAUUAACUUGCUCUAUCUUAGGAUAAUUUUCAGUUAUUACUUCAGGCUUCUUUAUUAUGUUUAUGAAUCUUUCUUUGUUUUUGUGUUUGUUCUUGAUAAAUUAAGUUUAUUGGGAUUUCUGGAGAGAAUUACACUCUUAUUAUGCUCAUGAUAGCUCUUUUGUUAUUAUGUUCCUUAAUUGUCUUGCUGGAAGUUUGCCACGAUAACAAUCCUUUGAGUUUUAUACCCUGACCGCCUGAUGCCAUCUCAAUUAUUUUUGAAAGAGAAUUAACCUAUAUUAAGAAGUCUAGAACAUGUGGUUUGAAUCAAAGGCACAUAAGAAAAGUCACAUUACCAAUACAAGAGUUAUCUUAUUAGUUGAGUUAUUGAUACCUUUAUUUAUUAAGAAUAUAGAUAUUUUUGAUGAAUGGAAAGCUUUUAGAAGAAAAGCAACUCUUCAGUCAAGAUUAUUACCAAAAGAACAAGGAGGAGUGCAUCCACAAAUUCAUGAUACAAGAUCGUUGUGGAAGUUCACAACUUUGCUGUUCUGUAUGUCUGUAAUGACAUGGAUGAACAUGAUUAUCCCUUUGUGUGCGAGUCUCUGCAACUCACAAGAAAAUUAUGAUCAAUCCUUGAUCUAUAUGCAAGAACUACUUUAGUCAAUUUUGUUAAUUAAACCUUUCACGAAAGAUAAUUCAAUUUCUUACUUGCUGAUUUUUCCUUCUGGUUCAUUUGGAUUUUUAAGUGUCGAAUGAAAACAUAUCUCUAUUUGAUAGAGGCAAUCAAGAUGUGGGACUAUACUGGAUAUGUUAUUGUUGACAGAGGUGAUCAAGUUGAAAAGUGAACAUAUUGGUAGAGCUUUUUUCUAAAAAUAAUAGAUGUGUUUGUACUUUGUUCAUUAGAAAUUGCAGGUAUCAAUCUCAAGUGUGGUUGCACUUCUAUCCACAUGUAAGUGUUGUCUCAUUUGUUAUCUAGAAAUUUGACUUGCAUAGACAAAUUAUUGGUAUUACCACUUUAUAAUUGAUUCGAUUGUUGCUUAUGAUGUUAAUAUUUACAUGUAUUGCUAUAUUCAUUAAAAUUUAUGUCUGGAAAUAGUGGCAGACAAAGCAUAAGCUUGAUGGGUUCAAUUGUGUCGAUUAUCUUCGACCCGAUACAUGACCCAUAUGUGAUUUAAAGAGAGUAAUGUUUUCCGUUGUAAGAACCUAAAGGAUGAAUCUAUGAAAUUUAAACAUUGAAUCCUCUUCUUGUGAAGGCAAUCUUAACCAAUACUUUUCAGUGUGUAGUAGAGAUUACUCCUUACUAGGUGGUUACCAUUUGAGAAUUUUGGUUGGCCUUUUCCUGAAAUUUUAGUGUCAUAUAUAUGAGAUAUGCUAGAGUGAACCUUCAAAACUUCAUAAUUGAAAUUCAUUGUUUUUCCAAGUGUGAUUCCAUCUAUUCUACAAGUUAGCAGACAAUUACAAAAUGAAAAAGAAGAGGGUUAUCAUCAAAGUAAUUCAUAAUUUUUCUGUUUAUCUUAGAACUGCUGAAAAUUUGAGUAAACAUUCAACUGUUAGUACUAUACCCUCCUUUGGAUUGUUAAUAUAGUAGUUCCGACUACUGAGCUUGAAUUGGGUUGCCUCUCUAAUCGAGAUCGUAGUCCUCAAGCACCACUAAGAGAGGCAACCCAAUACAAGCUCUAUCUAAGAUCCUUAUGAUCGGAUGAAUAAUUUUAUCAGUCAUUGUUUAAGUUAUUUUGUUCCAAUGAAGAUAUUCUUAUAAGUAAACUUUUAUGUACUUAUUUGGCAUACUUCUACAUCAACACAUCUUUAAAUGCUUAUAAUUGUGUUGCAACUUUAUCGAGCUUUUGUAAUAUCAGGUCAUUAUUUUUCA